UGGUGAUGGUAUGCAUAGCUUCAUCAGCAUCCGCCGGGUCUGGACUCCAACUGCUAUGCUGAUGCUGAGGUAUGUGUGAAGAGACGUGGAGGGGUGGUGGUUGACCUUGUGGGACCCAGAAGGGGUUUUAUUUUGCUGUUUUUCUUGAUUCAGGACUUUUCAACCUUUCUGUCUGAAAGUGGUGUUGGGUUAGACCUCCCCUCUCUUUCCGUCUGUCUGUGGUGUCAGGUUAGACCUCCCCUCUCUUUCCGUCUGUCUGUGGUCAGGUUAGACCUCCCCUCUCUUUCUGUCUGUCUGUGGUGUCAAGUUAGACCUCCCCUCUCUCUCUUUCUGUCUGUCUGUGGUGUCAGGUUAGACCUCCCCUCUCUUUCUGUCUGUCUGCAGUAUCAGGUCAGGCCCCCCCCUGUUUCCGUCUGUCUGUGGUGUCAGGUUAGACCUCCCCUCUCUUUCUGUCUGUGGUGUCAGGUUAGACCUCCCCUCUCUUUCUGUCUGUCUGCGGUAUCAGGUCAGGCCUCCCCUCUCUUUCCGUCUGUCUGUGGUGUCAGGUUAGACCUCCCCUCUCUUUCUGUCUGUGGUGUCAGGUUAGACCUCCUCUCUCUUUCUGUCUGUCUGUGGUGUCAAGUUAGAUCUCCCUUCUCUCUCUUUCUGUCUGUCUGUGGUGUCAGGUUAGACCUCCCCUGUCUUUCCGUCUGUCUGUGGUGUCAAGUUAGACCUCCCCUCUUUUUCCGUCUGUCUGUGGUGUCAAGUCAGACCUCCCGUCUCUUUCUGUCUGUCUGUGGUGUCAGGUUAGACCUCCCCUCUCUUUCUGUCUGUCUGUGGUGUCAAGUUAGACCUCCCCUCUCUCUCUUUCUGUCUGUCUGUGGUGUCAGGUUAGACCUCCCCUCUCUUUCUGUCUGUCUGUGGUGUCAAGUUAGACCUCCCCUCUCUCUCUUUCCGUCUGUCUGUGGUGUCAGGUUAGACCUCCCCUCUCUUUCUGUCUGUCUGUGGUGUCAAGUUAGACCUCCCCUCUCUCUCUGUCUCUCUGUCUGUGGUGUCAGGUUAGACCUCCCCUCUCUUUCCGUCUGUCUGUGGUGUAAGGUUAGACCUCCCCUCUCUUUCUGUCUGUGGUGUCAGGUUAGACCUCCCCUGUCUUUCCGUCUGUCUGUAGUGUCAGGUUAGACCUCCGCUCUUUUUCUGUCUGUCUGUGGUGUCAAGUUAGACCUCCCCUCUCUUUCCGUCUGUCUGUGGUGUCAAGUUAGACCUCCCCUCUCUCUCUUUCUGUCUGUCUGUGGUGUCAGGUUAGACCUCCCCUCUCUUUCUGUCUGUCUGUGGUGUCAAGUUAGACCUCCCCUCUCUCUCUUUCUGUCUGUCUGUGGUGUCAGGUUAGACCUCCCCUCUCUUUCCAUCUGUCUGUGGGGUCAGGUUAGACCUCCCCUCUCUAUCUGUCUGUGGUGUCAGGUCAGACCUCCCCUCUCUUUCUGUCUGUCUGUGGUGUCAGGUUAGACCUCCCCUCUCUAUCUGUCUGUGGUGUCAGGUUAGACCUCCCCUCUCUUUCCGUCUGUCUGUGGUGUCAAGUUAGACCUCCCUUCUCUAGCUGUCCACUCUAUCUGUCUGUUGUGUCAGGUUAGACCUCCCCUCUCUAUCUGUCUGUGGUGUCAAGUUAGACCUCCCCUCUCUAUCUGUCUGUGGUGUCAG
rnacentral:lncRNA from 1 species